rnacentral:rRNA from 1 species
UACGUAGGUGGCGAGCGUUGUCCGGAAUUACUGGGUGUAAAGCGCGCGUAGGCGGGAGGCCAAGUCCGCUGUGAAAUCGCCCGACUCAACUGGGCGCGGUCGGUGGAAACUGGUCACCUGGAGGACCGGUAGAGGCGAGUGGAAUUCCCCGGUGUAGUGGGUGAAAUGCGUAGAGAUCGGGAGGAACACCAGUGGGCGAAGGCGGCCUC